rnacentral:rRNA from 1 species
CAGUCGCCGCGGUAAAACGUAGGUCCCGAGCGUUGUCCGGAUUUAUCGGGCGUAAAGGGAGCGCAGGCGGUUUAGUAAGUCAGAAGUUAAAGGCAUUGGCUCAACCAAUGUAUGCUUUGGAAACUGUUAGACUUGAGUGCAGAAGGGGAGAGUGGAAUUCCAUGUGUAGCGGUGAAAUGCGUAGAUAUAUGGAGGAACACCGGUGGCGAAAGCGGCUCUCUGGCUUGUAACUGACGCUGAGGCUCGAAAGCGUGGGGCGCAAACAGGAUUAGAUACCCCCGUAGUCCCUGUCUCUUAUACC